CGGCGCCGGUUGGCGGGGCCGCCCCGUGUCGGCUGCGGUGGCCGCCUGAGCUGCGGCCGCCGGGAGGGAGGCGGAGGGAGGGGAGGCAGCGGAAGAUGGCGGCGGCGGCGCUGCGGGCCUGGUUUUGGAACGAGCGGUUCUGGCUGCCGCACAACGUGACGUGGGCGGACCUGGCCGGGGAGCCGGGCCCGCCGGGCAGCGGUUUGCAGUACCCGCGGGCGGGCCACGUCCUCUCCGCCUUCCCGCUGGCGCUCGGCAUCUUCGCCGUGCGGCUGCUCUUCGAGAGGUUUAUUGCUAAGCCAUGUGCCAUAAAACUCGGCAUUCAAGACAGUGGACCUCACAGAGCUCAGCCCAAUGCAAUUUUAGAGAAAGUGUUUACAUCCAUCACCAAGUCUCCAGAUGGAAAAAGGUUAGAAGGCCUGUCAAAGCAGCUGGACUGGGACGUUCGAAAGAUCCAGCGCUGGUUUCGGCAGCGGAGGAACCAGGACAAACCCACCACCCUCACCAAGUUUUGUGAGAGCAUGUGGAGGUUUACAUUUUAUUUAAGUAUAUUUUUUUAUGGACUCAGGUUCCUCUGGACGGCACCCUGGUUUUGGGACACACGACAGUGCUGGUACAACUACCCUUUUCAGCCUCUAACAUCCAGGCUUUAUUAUUAUUAUAUCUUGGAGCUGGCCUUCUACUGGUCUCUUAUGUUUUCUCAGUUUACAGACAUUAAACGGAAGGACUUCCUGAUUAUGUUCGUCCAUCAUUUGGCAACAAUUGGUCUCAUUACAUUCUCUUACAUGAAUAACAUGGUGCGGGUUGGAACUCUGGUGCUGUGCCUCCACGACGCAUCAGAUUUUCUGUUAGAGGCUGCAAAGCUGGCCAAUUAUGCCAAGUACCAACGUCUAUGCGAUGCUUUCUUCAUGCUCUUUGGUGUCGUAUUCAUUGUUACACGGUUGGGCAUUUAUCCUUUCUGGAUUUUGAAUACAACCCUGUUCGAAAGCUGGGAGCUGAUCGGUCCUUACCCUUCGUGGUGGCUGUUCAACGGGCUCCUGGUGACCUUGCAGGUCCUGCACGUCAUCUGGUCCUAUCUCAUCGUUCGCACUGCCUACAAAGCCCUCGUGCGGGGAAAGGUGACCUAGCCAGAAAAAGGACUUUAAGCUCUGUCUUCUUCAUUCUUUUCUCCCUCCUUUUCUCUGUGCCAGAUGGGAGCUGGACAGUUUCAUCCUUUGCAUGUAUCCAAAGAUGACCGCAGCGAUGUGGAGAGCAGCUCUGAAGAGGAGGACGUGACCUCUAACAGCACAAAAGGAGUUCUGAGCACUUCAAGUAACGGCUCCAACCGCAGCAACGGCCACGUGGCCAGCGGGCAGUGGACAGAGGAGGAGUAAGCUGUGCGUUGGCCUUGAGCAAACACGAACUUGUCUUUAAAUAUCUAGAUGUGUUGAGCUCCACAUUCCCGAGUGAUCUUUAAUCAAGAUACCCCUUCCCCAGAAACCUCCAGCAAAUCCGAAACGGGCACAAUCCAGACCAGUCAGAGGCUUUGCGCGACAGAAGGGAUCAAGCUGAUGACUUGGGGCAAAAACAAAGCCACAGGUUUCACUUUAAGCCAUUUUGUACUUCAGUCUUAGUCCCAUCGAUAUUUGCAGAGGUAUCUUUGUUUGUGACAAAGCGGUUUUUACCAGGAUCAACUCAAGGCGGAACAAGUUUGGCUGCUGAGCGCAGGAGGGGUCCCGGUGCCGUUUCGGUGACGGUUGCUCCGGCGCAGCGGGUUCGGCGCCUCCUGGAGCACUCCACAAACCACGGGAGAGCGCGGGGCCGCGGUUCCAGGCCCAGCUCCCCCCCUGCAGCAGAGACUCUUGUGUUCUCAGUCCUGCUGCGAGCGCUCGACUCCAGCCAAGCUUUGAGUUGGACUGUGCGACAGCAGGAGCACCGCUCGAACUCGCCAUGCGCGCCACCGAGGUUGUAGCUGAAGUAUCUCUGCUGUCAUGAGGGACCAGGCCAGCGUUUGCUGCCGCUUUUGGUGCUGCAAGCCCCUCUGAAGUCUUGAUUACCGCCUUCCGAAACGGGGGAGGGGGGGUGGUUUCUUGCCCCUGAGACAACUCUCACAAUACAUGCCUUUUAAAACUUCUUUUCUGUUGCAAGUUGUGGUUUUGAAGGUGUUUCUAGACCUACUGGACACAGUUGGCUGAGCCAGGGGGGACCAGCGCUGGUGUUAAACAGAACCUGCUGUUUCAGUCGGGGCGGAGCGGACGGUGCUGCUCUGACUUUGCGACCGUGCGGAGGAAUCAGGGGCUGGGGGGGCGGCCACACUUUAGGCUUUGCUGGUUUGUAUUUUUUUUUACUCAAUGGUACUUGGGGGCAAUGGAAGGACCAGAGUGUCAAUCAUGAGCAGAAUUUCUGGAAACCUCUUGAGUUGUUACCAUAUUUUUUUUUUUUUUACUCUUAUUUCUGAUUAAAAGAUGCUACAGAAA